rnacentral:rRNA from 1 species
GAUGAACGCUGGCGGCGUGCCUAAUACAUGCAAGUCGAGCGGAAAGACGAGGAGCUUGCUCCUCUGACGAUAGCGGCGGACGGGUGAGUAACACGUGGAUAACCUCCCUAUAAGACUGGGAUAACUUCGGGAAACCGGUGCUAAUACCGGAUAAUAUCUUGCACCGCAUGGUUCAAUAGUGAAAGACGGUUUUGCUGUCACUUAUAGAUGGAUCUGCGCCGCAUUAGCUAGUUGGUAAGGUAACAGGUUACCACGGCAACGAUGCGUAGCCGACCGGAGGGGGGGAUAGGCGACACGGGAGCGGAGACACGGUCCAGGCUCCUACGGGAGGCAGCAGUAGGGAAUCUUCCGCAGUGGUCGAGAGCCUGACGGAGCAACGCCGCGUGAGAGAUGAAGGUCCUCGGAUCGUAAAACUCUGUUAUUAGUUAUGAACAAAUGUGUAAUUAACUAUGCACGUCGUGACGGUACCUAAUCAGAAAGCCACGGCUAACUACGUG